rnacentral:rRNA from 1 species
GACGAACGCUGGCGGCGUGCUUAACACAUGCAAGUCGAGCGGAAAGGCCCUUCGGGGUACUCGAGCGGCGAACGGGUGAGUAACACGUGAGUAACCUGCCCCAGACUUUGGGAUAACCCUCGGAAACGGGGGCUAAUACCGGAUACGACACAGCUUCGCAUGGGGUCUGUGUGGAAAGUUUUUCGGUUUGGGAUGGGCUCGCGGCCUAUCAGCUUGUUGGUGGGGUGAUGGCCUACCAAGGCGACGCCGGGUAGCCGGCCUGAGAGGGCGACCGGCCACACUGGGACUGAGACACGGCCCAGACUCCUACGGGAGGCAGCAGUGGGGAAUAUUGCACAAUGGGCGGAAGCCUGAUGCAGCGACGCCGCGUGAGGGAUGACGGCCUUCGGGUUGUAAACCUCUUUCAGCAGGGACGAAGCGUAAGUGACGGUACCUGCAGAAGAAGCGCCGGCCAACUACGUG